UUUUUCAGUAAUUUCCUCAGUUUCUUCAACUAUAAAAUGAGGGAAUUAGAUUAAAUGACCUCUGUGCUCUCUUCUAACUUGUUCUCAAUGUUCUGUGAUUCUCUAAACAAUGCCUCUUGGAGUAUCCAUGGUGAUGGUAAAGGAGAGCUCUCAGACAGAAGGGUCCAGAAUGAUCCUGAGUCUCCUCUUCUCAGGUCAUUGCCAACUCAAAGUCUUCAAAGAGUGCAGUAUCGAAUGAUUCACAAUCACACAUCAGAAAAAAAAAAUUGUACUGCUCUGGCAAGUUCUACCAUGAUGAGAAGGUUUAAAAUUCAGUUCCAGCAAUAAACAAUAUCUGCUUUCCAGGGAUUACUCUUGCUAAGUACCCAGAAGCUCAACAAAUUGGUGAUUCAUUCUUUGGCCAUGGCAGCCCAUGAAACUUUCCUUAUUCAGGAAAGUAUAAAUAUAUUUAUUCAAAGCAAUAUUUCAUUUAAUCUUUCAAUAUACUGAAUACACAGAAGUUCUAAUUUAUUAUUAUUUUUUAAUUACGAAGCAUAACUUACUUUUAAACGCCCAAUGCUAAUCAUUCUUCUCAAUGUUCGUUUGUAUAAGUCCUUUUUCAUGCUUUGAUCACAGGUACUUUCACAUGAAAGUAUUGACUGAGCUUAACUCCCUGGUUUAAUAUUCAAACAUGGGUAUGAAAUGCAAGUAAAGUUAUUUUUUAAUUAAUUGUUACUAUUAGCUUCUAUUAAAGGAACAGCCGGUUAAAUAAACUAAUAAAUUAUAGCA
rnacentral:lncRNA from 1 species